GGAAGGGCGGGUGCUAUACAUGCAAGUAGAACGCUGAAGAGAGGAGCUUGCUCUUCUUGGAUGAGUUGCGAACGGGUGAGUAACGCGUAGGUAACCUGCCUUGUAGCGGGGGAUAACUAUUGGAAACGAUAGCUAAUACCGCAUAACAAUGGAUGACUCAUGUCAUUUAUUUGAAAGGGGCAAUUGCUCCACUACAAGAUGGACCUGCGUUGUAUUAGCUAGUAGGUGAGGUAACGGCUCACCUAGGCGACGAUACAUAGCCGACCUGAGAGGGUGAUCGGCCACACUGGGACUGAGACACGGCCCAGACUCCUACGGGAGGCAGCAGUAGGGAAUCUUCGGCAAUGGGGGCAACCCUGACCGAGCAACGCCGCGUGAGUGAAGAAGGUUUUCGGAUCGUAAAGCUCUGUUGUAAGUCAAGAACGAGUGUGAGAGUGGAAAGUUCACACUGUGACGGUAGCUUACCAGAAAGGGACGGCUAACUACGUGCCAGCAGCCGCGGUAAUACGUAGGUCCCGAGCGUUGUCCGGAUUUAUUGGGCGUAAAGCGAGCGCAGGCGGUUUGAUAAGUCUGAAGUUAAAGGCUGUGGCUCAACCAUAGUUCGCUUUGGAAACUGUCAAACUUGAGUGCAGAAGGGGAGAGUGGAAUUCCAUGUGUAGCGGUGAAAUGCGUAGAUAUAUGGAGGAACACCGGUGGCGAAAGCGGCUCUCUGGUCUGUAACUGACGCUGAGGCUCGAAAGCGUGGGGAGCGAACAGGAUUAGAUACCCUGGUAGUCCACGCCGUAAACGAUGAGUGCUAGGUGUUGGAUCCUUUCCGGGAUUCAGUGCCGCAGCUAACGCAUUAAGCACUCCGCCUGGGGAGUACGACCGCAAGGUUGAAACUCAAAGGAAUUGACGGGGGCCCGCACAAGCGGUGGAGCAUGUGGUUUAAUUCGAAGCAACGCGAAGAACCUUACCAGGUCUUGACAUCCCGAUGCUAUUUCUAGAGAUAGAAAGUUACUUCGGUACAUCGGUGACAGUG
rnacentral:rRNA from 1 species